GCCAAUUUUCUUUUUCAUCUCAUCACCACCAACCACGUGUCCCUUACCCAUUAUCUUCCUCUAGACCACUAGGCUGCCACCCAUGUCUCACUAUAUAUUCAUCCUAUUCUCUUCUUAACGGGGGAACCAAGAGCAGAGCCGCAGACCCCAUUCAUCCUUCCUCUCCCCAAACAGUAGCCGCACCCUAUUUUCAUAUUCCUUUACCCUUCCUUCAUCACCUCACCAAGAUUCCUUCACCUCACCAAGAACCUCCUCACCCAAUUUAUCAUUCUCCACCAUUUUCCAAAGAAAAUCAAAGGGCUUUUACUACCCACACCAUCAAUUGCUCAUCAACACAAAGAUAUUUUACUUUUGGUAAAGAGUAGGGGCUUAAUUUCAAGUUGGAUUCAUGUUUGCCUAUAGCAAAUUAUGAGCCUAGCUUGUGUUCCCUCUCUCCUCUAUCAUUUCUCUUAAUUUCUUAUGUAUUUGAGUAUGGGUAGUGAGUAGUUCAAUUUUGGGAGUUAGGGUUGUAAAGCCCUAACUCAUCUUGUAUAAAUAUUGAUGCUUUAAUUUUAAUAAAUGCAAUUUCCAUUGUGUAUGCUUUACAUAUGAAUUUAUUGGUCCUUAGAAACAUGUUUCUAGGCUUUGUCACCUUUUGAAAUUAUAUUGUGGGCAAUUGUGAUGAGUAGAUUGAUAAAUUGACAACUUAUUGGUCUUGUUGCAUCUAGGAUUUAAGUGUGGUAACCAUUAGCUAGCUUAAUUGUAGCUAAGCUUACUUGAGUCUCUAUUAUCUUGCUCUCUAGGUCUCUAAUUUGGGCAUUACGCCGGUUAAGGCCACAAUAUCCGAAUUUUAAUUUCUUGCUUGAUAAUUAGUUAUUUGCUUUUAUUUUAGUUUACAUUUAAUUUAGUUAAUUCCUCAUGAUGGGAGAACUUUCAAGGUUAAUGGGCACCGGCUUAAACCUUAUCAUGACUCCACUAUUGAUUCUCAUCAUGAGGUGACUUACCUUGAUGAUGCUUCUUAAAUAAUAAAAAACUCUAUGGACCGGCAAUGAAGUCCUUAAACAAAGCGCUCGCUAGGGAGGCAACCCUAGCAAUACUUGUGAUGUUUUCUUUGUUUGUUGGGAGGUGCUUGAGGUGUGGAUAAUAAGGAGAUAUUUUGAGCUACAAUUCUUAUAUGGAGGUCAUGGAGGACAAUUUUGGGUCGUGGAUUGAUAAGAUCAAGGCGAUGAGCUUAAUGGAGGACCCAUGUCCUUAUUCUUUGAAGUGGCCUAUUGGGUGACACAUCGCUCUAGGACAUUUGAUGUUCAAAAUUGAGUCGAACAUUUUAUGAGCACCUUGAGCUAUUAUGGAGUAUACGAAAGGAAGUCAAGGCUUUGUGCCUUGAGGUUGGUGUCUCAUAUUGGUCUUCUCCAAGGGUCGUGAGCAAUGGAGGUGUCUACAAAGGGGGUUUCCAUCACUUUUUCUCCGCAUUUAGAUUUUCAUUUUGAUAGUUAAUUUUUGUGUCUUCGCCUGGACUUCACUCUCAUGCAUAAAUCCAACAUGGAUUUAGCUUUCGAGCUCACUUGACAACAUUGAGGACAAUGUUGGUUUUAAGUGUGGGGGUGAGGGCUCGGGUGCCCUAUAAAAAAAAAAUAUAUAUAUAUAUAUAUAUAUAAAUUAGAUUAGCUUUUUGUAAUUAUAUUUUAGUGGAUAAUGCCUUUCCAACCCCAAUGACGAGACAUGGACUUGAGCAUAUAUAUGGAUUUGACACAUGGUCAACACGUGCAUAUACUUGAGCAUUUCUCACAUGUGCAUCUUAAUUGCCUU
rnacentral:lncRNA from 1 species